rnacentral:lncRNA from 12 species
UGAACAGCAGUUCUGCCAGAACUGAGAUGCAGUUGGAGUGGUCAGAGCCACCCCAUAUGCAGACAGCACGCUGGCCACACACAGGGAAUACACGAAAUUCUGACCAACCUGCAGAUGAGACAAGUGUUUCACAGGGCACAGUGCUUCUGAAAAAUGUGAGCAAGGGAAACACACAGCAACAACCCUGUGAGACAGUCUGCAAAAACAUGGAAGGAAACAGCUGUACAGCUGUGUGCAGGAACAAACUGUGCACCUGCCCCACAGUCUUUUGUUAAAAAAAAAAAAAAAGAAAAAGAAAUAAAGAAAUUACUGUUAUCCAACAUCCCAUUAUAGCAAAAUCAAUUCCUUUGCACCAAACUACCUGUAUUUAAAUUGAUUUAUUUUAUGCCAUUUGCCAGAGAAAUGCAUGUUCUAUUGACAGUAAAGCAAGG